UACGUAGGGUGCAGGCGUUAAUCGGAAUUACUGGGCGUAAAGCGCGUGUAGGCGGCUAUGUAAGUCGGGCGUGAAAUCCCACGGCUCAACCGUGGAAGUGCACCCGAAACUGCGUAGCUAGAGUCCUGGAGAGGAAGGUGGAAUGCUUGGUGUAGAGGUGAAAUUCGUAGAUAUCAAGCGGAACACCGGUGGCGAAGGCGGCCUUCUGGACAGUGACUGACGCUGAGACGCGAAAGCGUGGGGAGCAAACAGG
rnacentral:rRNA from 1 species